GCCAGCAGCCAUAUCAUCCUGCAACUCACAACUGGCAAAUCACCUCAGCUCAGCAGGAGUGAGCCUGGGCAGUACCUGGAUGGGAGACCUCCUGGGAAAAGCUAAGGUUGCUGCUGGAA
rnacentral:rRNA from 1 species